UCUCCGUUGGUGAACCAGCGGAGGGAUCAUUACAGGACUCGCAAGACUCCUUCACCCUGUGAACCUCACUACAAGCACGUUGCUUCGGCGGGUGUCCCGGCGGGGGUUUUCCCUCGCCGGGGCGCACAGCCCGCCGGCAGCCUACUAUACUCUGUCUCUUUGUGUUGGCAUCUCGAGAAAAAACAAACAAGUUAAAACUUUCAACAACGGAUCUCUUGGUUCUG
rnacentral:misc_RNA from 1 species